rnacentral:rRNA from 1 species
UUGGCUUCUGAUGCUUAUUGCACCACAUGUGUUUUUCUUUGAAACAAACUUGCUUUGGCGGUGGGCCCAGCCUGCCGCCAGAGGUCUAAACUUGCAACCAAUUUUUUAUCAACUUGUCACACCAGAUUAUUACUAAUAGUCAAAACUUUCAACAACGGAUCUCUUGGUUCUCGCAUCGAUGAAGAACGCAGCGAAAUGCGAUACGUAAUAUGAAUUGCAGAUAUUCGUGAAUCAUCGAAUUUUUGAACGCACAUUGCGCCCUCUGGUAUUCCGGAGGGCAUGCCUGUUUGAGCGUCGUUUCUCCCUCAAACCGCUGGGUUUGGUGUUGAGCAAUACGACUUGGGUUUGCUUGAAAGACGGUAGUGGUAAGGCGGGAUCGCUUUGACAAUGGCUUAGGUCUAACCAAAAACAUUGCUUGCGGCGGUAACGUCUACCACGUAUAUCUUCAAACUUUGACCUCAAAUCAGGUAGGACUACCCGCUGAACUUAAGCAUAUCAAAAGGCGGGAGGAA